GACGAACGCUGGCGGCGUGCUUAACACAUGCAAGUCGAACGGAAAGGCCCUGCUUUUGUGGGGUGCUCGAGUGGCGAACGGGUGAGUAACACGUGAGUAACCUGCCCUUGACUUUGGGAUAACUUCAGGAAACUGGGGCUAAUACCGGAUAGGAGCUCCUGCUGCAUGGUGGGGGUUGGAAAGUUUCGGCGGUUGGGGAUGGACUCGCGGCUUAUCAGCUUGUUGGUGGGGUAGUGGCUUACCAAGGCUUUGACGGGUAGCCGGCCUGAGAGGGUGACCGGCCACAUUGGGACUGAGAUACGGCCCAGACUCCUACGGGAGGCAGCAGUGGGGAAUAGUGCACAAUGGGCGGAAGCCUGAUGCAGCAACGCCGCGUGCGGGAUGACGGCCUUCGGGUUGUAAACCGCGUUCGCCUGUGACGAAGCGUGAGUGACGGUAAUGGGUAAAGAAGCACCGGCUAACUACGUG
rnacentral:rRNA from 1 species